CUCCUCGCCGCCGCCUCCUCCCCGCUCGCCGCCCUCCUCGCCGCCUCCAAGGCCGCCUCCAAGUCCUACAAGGCGGCGCGCGCGCUCGACCCGGCCGCGCGUCCCCCCUCGCUGCCCUCCUCCAAGCGUGUCAAGGCCGCCUUCGCCGCCGCCUCCCUCCUCCGCCUCGCCCCGACCCUCCUCCUCCUCCCCGCCGCCGCCGCCUCCCCCUCCUCCUCCUCCUCCUCCCCCACCGCCCUCUUCGCGCUCGCGCUGCUCAAGUCCGGCUACAAGCUCUCCAAGAACUCCGCCAAGGUCGUCGAGGGCUUCCUCGGCCUGCAGGUCCACAAGGGCUUCCGCAACGGCGUCGACGCGCUCGGGGUCGUCGUCAAGGUCGCCGUCAUCGCCUCCGAGGUCGUCGUCUGGGUCGCCGUCAUCGCCUCCGAGGUCGCCGUCGCCGCGAGCGUGCUGGGCCUCGCCGAGGACUGGAUUGCUUUUAAAAAAAACUAG
rnacentral:rRNA from 1 species